rnacentral:tRNA from 1 species
GGCUCCAUAGUGUAGUGAUCAGCACGUCUGCUUUACACACAAAAGGCCCUGGGUUCAUGCCCAGGUGGAACCA